CCUACGGGUGGCAGCAGUGGGGAAUAUUGGACAAUGGGGGCAACCCUGAUCCAGCCAUGCCGCGUGUGUGAAGAAGGCCCUCGGGUUGUAAAGCACUUUCAGUGAGGAAGAACGCCUGGUGGUUAAUACCCAUCAGGAAAGACAUCACUCACAGAAGAAGCACCGGCUAACUCCGUGCCAGCAGCCGCGGUAAUACGGAGGGUGCGAGCGUUAAUCGGAAUUACUGGGCGUAAAGCGCGCGUAGGUGGCUUGAUAAGCCGGUUGUGAAAGCCCCGGGCUCAACCUGGGAACGGCAUCCGGAACUGUCAAGCUAGAGUGCAGGAGAGGAAAGUAGAAUUCCCGGUGUAGCGGUGAAAUGCGUAGAGAUCAGGAGGAAUACCAGUGGCGAAGGCGGCCUUCUGGACUGACACUGACACUGAGGUGCGAAAGCGUGGGUAGCAAACAGGAUUAGAUACCCGGGUAGUC
rnacentral:rRNA from 1 species